rnacentral:rRNA from 1 species
CCUACGGGAGGCAGCAGUGGGGAAUAUUGCACAAUGGGGGAAACCCUGAUGCAGCGACGCCGCGUGAGUGAAGAAGUAAUUCGUUAUGUAAAGCUCUAUCAGCAGGGAAGAAAAUGACGGUACCUGAGUAAGAAGCCUCGGCUAACUACGUGCCAGCAGCCGCGGUAAUACGUAGGGGGCAAGCGUUAUCCGGAUUUACUGGGUGUAAAGGGAGCGUAGACGGCAUUGCAAGUCUGGAGUGAAAGGCGGGGGCUUAACCCCCGGACUGCUCUGGAAACUGUACGGCUGGAGUGCAGGAGAGGUAAGUGGAAUUCCUAGUGUAGCGGUGAAAUGCGUAGAUAUUAGGAGGAACACCAGUGGCGAAGGCGGCUUACUGGACUGUAACUGACGUUGAGGCUCGAAAGCGUGGGUAGCAAACAGGAUUAGAUACCCUAGUAGUC